GGUUAAGCGACUAAGCGUACACGGUGGAUGCCCUGGCAGUCAGAGGCGAUGAAGGACGUGCUAAUCUGCGAAAAGCGUCGGUAAGGUGAUAUGAACCGUUACAGCCGGCGAUGUCCGAAUGGGGAAACCCAGUGCAAUUCGUUGCACUAUCGUUAACUGAAUAUAUAGGUUAACGAGGCGAACCGGGGGAACUGAAACAUCUAAGUACCCCGAGGAAAAGAAAUCAACCGAGAUUCCCCCAGUAGCGGCGAGCGAACGGGGAGCAGCCCGGAGUCUGAAUCAGCUUGUGUGUUAGUGGAAGCGUCUGGAAAGUCGCAGGGUACAGGGUGAUACUCCCGUACACUAAAACACACAGGUUGUGAACUCGAAGAGUAGGGCGGGACACGUGGUAUCCUGUCUGAAUAUGGGGGGACCAUCCUCCAAGGCUAAAUACUCCUGACUGACCGAUAGUGAACCAGUACCGUGAGGGAAAGGCGAAAAGAACCCCGGCGAGGGGAGUGAAAAAGAACCUGAAACCGUGUACGUACAAGCAGUAGGAGCCCACUAGUUGGGUGACUGCGUACCUUUUGUAUAAUGGGUCAGCGACUUAUAUUCUGUAGCAAGGUUAACCGUAUAGGGGAGCCGCAGGGAAACCGAGUCUUAACUGGGCGUUAAGUUGCAGGGUAUAGACCCGAAACCCGGUGAUCUAGCCAUGGGCAGGUUGAAGGUUGGGUAACACUAACUGGAGGACCGAACCGACUAAUGUUGAAAAAUUAGCGGAUGACUUGUGGCUGGGGGUGAAAGGCCAAUCAAACCGGGAGAUAGCUGGUUCUCCCCGAAAGCUAUUUAGGUAGCGCCUCGUGAAUUCAUCUUCGGGGGUAGAGCACUGUUUCGGCUAGGGGGUCAUCCCGACUUACCAACCCGAUGCAAACUACGAAUACCGAAGAAUGUUAUCACGGGAGACACACGGCGGGUGCUAACGUCCGUCGUGAAGAGGGAAACAACCCAGACCGCCAGCUAAGGUCCCAAAGUCAUGGUUAAGUGGGAAACGAUGUGGGAAGGCCCAGACAGCCAGGAUGUUGGCUUAGAAGCAGCCAUCAUUUAAAGAAAGCGUAAUAGCUCACUGGUCGAGUCGGCCUGCGCGGAAGAUGUAACGGGGCUAAACCAUGCACCGAAGCUGCGGCAGCGACACUAUGUGUUGUUGGGUAGGGGAGCGUUCUGUAAGCCGUUGAAGGUGGCCUGUGAGGGUUGCUGGAGGUAUCAGAAGUGCGAAUGCUGACAUAAGUAACGAUAAUGCGGGUGAAAAACCCGCACGCCGGAAGACCAAGGGUUCCUGUCCAACGUUAAUCGGGGCAGGGUGAGUCGACCCCUAAGGCGAGGCCGAAAGGCGUAGUCGAUGGGAAACAGGUUAAUAUUCCUGUACUUGGUGUUACUGCGAAGGGGGGACGGAGAAGGCUAUGUUGGCCGGGCGACGGUUGUCCCGGUUUAAGCAUGUAGGCGGAUGUUCCAGGUAAAUCCGGAACGUUACUAACGCUGAGGUGUGAUGACGAGGCACUACGGUGCUGAAGUGACAAAUGCCCUGCUUCCAGGAAAAGCCUCUAAGCAUCAGGUAACAUCAAAUCGUACCCCAAACCGACACAGGUGGUCAGGUAGAGAAUACCAAGGCGCUUGAGAGAACUCGGGUGAAGGAACUAGGCAAAAUGGUGCCGUAACUUCGGGAGAAGGCACGCUGAUGGUAGGUGAAGUGACUUGCUCAUGGAGCUGAAAUCAGUCGAAGAUACCAGCUGGCUGCAACUGUUUAUUAAAAACACAGCACUGUGCAAACACGAAAGUGGACGUAUACGGUGUGACGCCUGCCCGGUGCCGGAAGGUUAAUUGAUGGGGUUAUCCUCGCGGAGAAGCUCUUGAUCGAAGCCCCGGUAAACGGCGGCCGUAACUAUAACGGUCCUAAGGUAGCGAAAUUCCUUGUCGGGUAAGUUCCGACCUGCACGAAUGGCGUAAUGAUGGCCAGGCUGUCUCCACCCGAGACUCAGUGAAAUUGAACUCGCUGUGAAGAUGCAGUGUACCCGCGGCAAGACGGAAAGACCCCGUGAACCUUUACUAUAGCUUGACACUGAACACUGGUCCUUGAUGUGUAGGAUAGGUGGGAGGCUUUGAAGUGUGGACGCCAGUCUGCAUGGAGCCGUCCUUGAAAUACCACCCUUUAAUGGCUGGUGUUCUAACGUGGGCCCGUGAUCCGGGUUGCGGACAGUGUCUGGUGGGUAGUUUGACUGGGGCGGUCUCCUCCUAAAGAGUAACGGAGGAGCACGAAGGUCAGCUAAUCCUGGUCGGACAUCAGGAGGUUAGUGCAAUGGCAUAAGCUGGCUUGACUGCGAGCGUGACGGCGCGAGCAGGUGCGAAAGCAGGUCAUAGUGAUCCGGUGGUUCUGAAUGGAAGGGCCAUCGCUCAACGGAUAAAAGGUACUCCGGGGAUAACAGGCUGAUACCGCCCAAGAGUUCAUAUCGACGGCGGUGUUUGGCACCUCGAUGUCGGCUCAUCACAUCCUGGGGCUGAAGUAGGUCCCAAGGGUAUGGCUGUUCGCCAUUUAAAGUGGUACGCGAGCUGGGUUUAGAACGUCGUGAGACAGUUCGGUCCCUAUCUGCCGUGGGCGCUGGAGAAUUGAGGGGGGCUGCUCCUAGUACGAGAGGACCGGAGUGGACGCAUCACUGGUGUUCGGGUUGUCAUGCCAAUGGCAUUGCCCGGUAGCUAAAUGCGGAAGAGAUAAGUGCUGAAAGCAUCUAAGCACGAAACUUGCCCCGAGAUGAGUUCUCCCUGACUCCUUGAGAGUCCUGAAGGAACGUUGAAGACGACGACGUUGAUAGGCCGGGUGUGUAAGCGCAGCGAUGCGUUGAGCUAACCGGUACUAAUGAACCGUGAGGCUUAACCUU
rnacentral:rRNA from 1 species